UACGAAGGGGGCUAGCGUUGCUCGGAAUCACUGGGCGUAAAGGGUGCGUAGGCGGGUCUUUAAGUCAGGGGUGAAAUCCUGGAGCUCAACUCCAGAACUGCCUUUGAUACUGAAGAUCUUGAGUUCGGGAGAGGUGAGUGGAACUGCGAGUGUAGAGGUGAAAUUCGUAGAUAUUCGCAAGAACACCAGUGGCGAAGGCGGCUCGCGGGCCCGAUACUGACGCUGAGGCACGAAAGCGUGGGGAGCAAACAGG
rnacentral:rRNA from 1 species